rnacentral:rRNA from 1 species
GAUGAACGCUAGCUACAGGCUUAACACAUGCAAGUCGAGGGGAAACGAUGAGAGAGCUUGCUCUCUUAGGCGUCGACCGGCGCACGGGUGAGUAACGCGAAUCCAACCUACCCAUUACAGGGGGAUAACCUUGCGAAAGUAAGACUAAUACCCCAUGGCAUUUUAUGGUGGCAUCAUUAUAGGAUUAAAGAUUUAUUGGUAAUGGAUGGGGAUGCGUCUGAUUAGCUUGUUGGCGGGGUAACGGCCCACCAAGGCAACGAUCAGUAGGGGUUCUGAGAGGAAGGUCCCCCACAUUGGAACUGAGACACGGUCCAAACUCCUACGGGAGGCAGCAGUGAGGAAUAUUGGUCAAUGGGCGAGAGCUUGAACCAGCCAAGUAGCGUGCAGGAUGACGGCCCUAUGGGUUGUAAACUGCUUUUAUAGGGGAAUAAAGUGAGCUACGUGUAGUUUAUUGCAUGUACCCUAUGAAUAAGGACCGGCUAAUUCCGUG